GGCCCUGUAGCUCAGCGGUAGAGCGCUCCCCUCAUAAGGGAUUGGUCACUGGUUCGAAUCUCAGUCAGGGUCACCA
rnacentral:tRNA from 1 species